CUGCUCUUCACCAGAAGCAGAAUGGAUGAGAGUAUUUACACAAAUGCCAGUGCCCCAUUUAUCUGGCAGUGAAGCCCAAGAAGAGGUGCUCUUCUGCUGUCUUUUCUCUCCAGAAAUACCCUCUCUGACCCUCAGCUUUGUGCCUUCUGCUAAACAUCAGCUCCAUGGGGUCACAAAUUUGCUCAUCUUCACAUGUUUGCUGCACUCCCAGAAAAUGGGAACUUUAUGAAAACAUAUGCCAAGCCCCAGCUAUGCGCUCAUCAGCACGAGAUAAGAAAUCAAUAUGCUCCUUAUUGAACUGUCAACUUGCAUAAAACUGUGAAGGCCAAUGAUAGGUUUUGGGAGAAAAAGGUAUGAAAAAGUCACUGGUACAUACUGGGAGUUUGAUGAUGAGAUAUGUCUUUGACUGUCAUGGGAAUCUUUUUAAUGCUACUUUCCUGGUUUCUUUGAAUUUCGUAGAGAUGUUACGGUAAAGAAAGUGACAUAACCAAAAGCUACCACCUUUCACCCUUGAAUCCUGGCAUUAGCUUAUACAGGUAUGAAGGGAAGCUAUAAAAUUCAAGGGAUUUUUUUUCCUACUCAUUACAUUUCAUUGUUUGCCUUAGAGAAAAAUACACAUCUUUAAUCUAUU
rnacentral:lncRNA from 1 species